rnacentral:misc_RNA from 1 species
CCAAUAGCGUAUAUUAAAGUUGUUGCAGUUAAAAAGCUCGUAGUUGAAUUUCGGAAUCAAUAUAUCGGUCGUGCCUCUGGUACGCACUUAUUUAUUGAUUUCUCACUUCUGACGAAUCAUAAUGUCAUUCGUUUGGUGUUAUGAGGAAUCAGGACUGUGACUUUGAAAAAAUUAGAGUGUUUAAAGCAGGCUCGCGCUUGAAUACAUUAGCAUGGAAUAAUGAAAUAGGAUGUUUGAUCUUAUUUUGUUGGUUUCUAGGAUCGAAAUAAUGAUUAAUAGGGAUUGUUGGGGGCAUUAGUAUCGAAUUGUCAGAGGUGAAAUUCUUGGAUUUAUUGAAGACUAACUACUGCGAAAGCAUUUGCCAAGGAUGUUUUCAUUAAUCAAGAACGAAAGUUAGGGGAUCGAAGACGAUCAGAUACCGUCGUAGUCUUAACCAUAAACUAUGCCGACUAGGGAUCGGAUGAUGUUAUUUUUUAAUGACUCAUUCGGCACCUUACG